GACGAACGCUGGCGGCGUGCCUAAUACAUGCAAGUAGAACGCUGAAGGAGGAGCUUGCUUCUCUGGAUGAGUUGCGAACGGGUGAGUAACGCGUAGGUAACCUGCCUGGUAGCGGGGGAUAACUAUUGGAAACGAUAGCUAAUACCGCAUAAGAGUAGAUGUUGCAUGACAUUUGCUUAAAAGGUGCAAUUGCAUCACUACCAGAUGGACCUGCGUUGUAUUAGCUAGUUGGUGGGGUAACGGCUCACCAAGGCGACGAUACAUAGCCGACCUGAGAGGGUGAUCGGCCACACUGGGACUGAGACACGGCCCAGACUCCUACGGGAGACAGCAGUAGGGAAUCUUCGGCAAUGGACGGAAGUCUGACCGAGCAACGCCGCGUGAGUGAAGAAGGUUUUCGGAUCGUAAAGCUCUGUUGUAAGAGAAGAACGAGUGUGAGAGUGGAAAGUUCACACUGUGACGGUAUCUUACCAGAAAGGGACGGCUAACUACGUG
rnacentral:rRNA from 1 species